UUAAACUGGCAUAUAAGAAUGUUGUUCCAACCCUCAACCCUCACAAUAUCCACAUACAUAUCUUAAAAUAGCACUCAAGAAGAAAGCUUGACGCAGGAGAAAGACAGCAUACUAUUCACUGAAAUCAAUGCUGCCACUGCGAGAGCUGCUGGCGUUGCGACUAUGUAAGGAGAGGCCCCUCAUGUGACUGGACGGAGCCGAG
rnacentral:misc_RNA from 1 species